UACGUAGGGUGCGAGCGUUGUCCGGAAUUACUGGGCGUAAAGAGCUCGUAGGUGGUUUGUCGCGUUGUUCGUGAAAUCCCACGGCUCAACCGUGGAAGUGCGCUCGAAACUGCGUAGCUAGAGUCCUGGAGAGGAAGGUGGAAUGCUUGGUGUAGAGGUGAAAUUCGUAGAUAUCAAGCGGAACACCGGUGGCGAAGGCGGCCUUCUGGGCAGUGACUGACGCUGAGACGCGAAAGCGUGGGGAGCAAACAGG
rnacentral:rRNA from 1 species